rnacentral:lncRNA from 1 species
UGGGGGGAAGGCGAGGCUAGGUUUGUGAUAUCAGGGAUGAUUUCAAUGCGACGACAACGAGUGAUUCAGACAAAGAAAGGAUUCGGACAAUGAAGAUAAAAUGUAGCGCGAGCAACGAAGAAAAAUAAAAGAAAAACUAUUUCGCAUACACAAAAUCAACAUCAAUCCAUAUAUGCAGAUAAUGUCACUUAGAAAACUAGAGUUAGAUGACUUACGUCUAAAAGGGUGACCUUGUUUCUACUUUGUAUCUGUGCAAAUGUUCCUCCUAUAGUCAACACUUUUUCUUCCUCCUCCUCCGAACGAGACGGUGUUAUCCUCCUCUCCUCUGGCCGCGAGGUCCUUUCCUACCAGGUAGUGAUGAUCGGUGACGGCUUAGAGUCUCCAAUUUUUUUUUGUGAUCGUCAGGGUUUUCUCUUUUUGGAUGAAUAAUGUUGUGUCCUUUUUGUUCUCGCAAUGAUGAAUCAUAAUCCUCAAUUCCUUCCAGCCUGGUAAAGGAAAUCAGAUCCCCUGAAUAAUCAGUCUCGUCCCCUCUUAGGAAACUAAUUUCCAUUCCAAGAAAAACGUUCCUCUGUUUCCUUUCUGGAUAAUCCGGUCGUAUCCCCAAGGAUUUCCUCCUUAUUUCUUUCUUCCUUUUAUGUUUCAAUUGGAUCAAUUAAGGAAACAAUUUGAAUAUCCUUCCCUC